rnacentral:misc_RNA from 1 species
GAUGAAGAACGUAGCGAAAUGCGAUAAGUAGUGUGAAUUGCAGAAUUCAGUGAAUCAUCGAAUCUUUGAACGCACAUUGCGCCCCAUGGUAUUCCGUGGGGCAUGCCUGUUCGAGCGUCAUUUACCCCCUCAAGCUCCGCUUGGUGUUGGGCGUCUGUCCCGCUUCGCGCGCGGACUCGCCCCAAAGGUAUUGGCAGCGGUCGUGCCAGCUUCUCGCGCAGCACAUUGCGCUUCUCGAGGCACCGGUGGGCCCGCGUCCAUCAAGCUCACCCCCCCAGUUUGACCUCGGAUCAGGUAGGGAUACCCGCUGAGCUUAAGCAUAUCAAUAAGCGGAGGA